UACGUAGGGGGCUAGCGUUGUCCGGAAUCAUUGGGCGUAAAGCGCGUGUAGGCGGUUCGGUAAGUCCGCUGUGAAAGUCGGGGGCUCAACCCUCGGAUGCCGGUGGAUACUGUCGGACUAGAGUACGGAAGAGGCGAGUGGAAUUCCUGGUGUAGCGGUGAAAUGCGCAGAUAUCAGGAGGAACACCGGUGGUGAAAACGAGUCUCUGGUCCGCUUCUGACGCUCAGGUGCGAAAGCUAGGGGAGCAAACGGG
rnacentral:rRNA from 1 species